CUUCAUUUAAUUCUAUGCCACCUCAUCAAAGUUGCCUAGUUGGCAUGUAUAACCAGCCUUAAUCACUGGUGUGAGCGGCGGAAGGGAUGGCGACGACGAAGAUUGAUUAUAGUAGUUCUUAAUUAUGAGAUCCAGUCGACAGGUUCCGGUUGCCAGAUCUCGGAGAUGUUGAGUGCACGGCGGAAGGUCUGCCGGAGCCAAAUCUGUUGGACACGGCUGCCGAGUCCAUGGGCGACACGCCGCCGGCACUCCAUGUAGACCUGAACAGCACCUGCGAUGGCUUGAGUUUGUCGGCUCCCGACUCGGAGCAGUCAACGGGCAAAGACAACCGUCAAGCGCCUGGAUAGAAGAAGAGGUAACUCAAUUCAUAUGGUGUCCGUGCAGUACAGUUGACACAACGUUGGUGUGAGGGCAGAGUGCGGUUCGUACAACUGAAAAUGUUGUCAUUGCUGCUCGGUUCGUGUUGGCCAUGCACCUGUUGAACGGCCACCAGAGGAAAUGCAGAGAAGAAGACUGACACAGUUGUAGUCCCUGAAGUUGGAGGCAGAGAGUUGUAGUGCCUGAAGUUAGAAGCAGUCAGUUGUAGUGCUUGAGCUUAUCAGUUUCAGACUAAUGAAAAAGCUUUGGAAUAUUGAAAAAUGGCGAACUGUGUAAAUGAUACUAACUGACAUAGAAUUCAGAGAGUUUUGAUUCAGGUGUGUAUUCUGGACCUGCUUAGAGACAACUGAAUGCUUCAAGGUGCUGGAUUUCCUUGGCUUUGAAGAAAUACCUGUGAAGCACAUAUUGAAGAGGUGGACGAGGGAUGCGAGGGACGUGCAGAAAAGACUAGAUGACCAUCAACUCGAUAAUAACCCGGCAUCUUGUGACAAGGCGAUGGAGCUCCUUAAGUAUACAAUGCACAUUCUUACACCUAUCAAUGCAGAGCAAGAUGGCACGGGACUAGAAGAUUUCACUGCUUUAGCCAGAGCUGCUGUGCGCAAAGGCAGCGACAGUCAAGCUUGCCAUGAUGCUUGAUGUCAACAUCAUUUGAAAGCCAUACAUGAUGAUCAAUUAUGUUUGUAUUGCAGGUUCUUGAUUUCUUGGGUAUAGACAAGAUACCAUCAAAACACAUCCUCGAGAGGUGGACAAAAGGUGCAAGAGAUAUACUUCCACAACACUUGGCACACCUGCAGAAAGAACAGAUUUCAGUUAACUCCAUUACAUUCAGGCAUUCAAAUCUAUAUACCCAUGCUUUGGAGGUCGUCAAACAUGGUGACGCAAACCCAAUUGCAUAUGAUUGUACAAUGGAGCUUCUUAGGGCAGCAAUGGAUAAACUAACGCCUUUAGCUGAUGAUCAUGGUGGACUGGGUUUAGACCAUAGAAUUGAGUUCAACAAGGCAAAAGGUACAUAAUUAAGUGUGUUGCAUGGACCACAGGAUGGAUACAGGAGUGAUGCUGAAGGUAGUGCAUUUGGAAAUUUCAUUGGUUUAGUAGCUCCGAAACGCAAACGGAAAGCCGAUCAACCAACCAACAGCAGAGGCAAGCCUCCAUAUGAUGAUCGCGGUGCAAAGAGCAAAAAAUGGAAGGUGGUGGUACAUCUGGAUACUAUUGUAGGAUAUAGUACAAGCAAACGAACACGCUUCUGCGCUAUAUGUCGUGGACCAGGGCACAAGAGCACGACAUGUCCACAGAGGGGUGACCUCCCUCAAAAGAAAAGGAAAGAAGCUAGGUGCUCAAUCUGCGGAGUGGGAGGGCAUCGAAAGAACACCUGCAACAAUCCCAAGAUUGUCUUACAUGGUGCCGAGAAAGCUGCUCCUGAACAUCCUGUGGAACUGUGAUAAAUGUGUACAAGCAGGAAGCAUCCUGUGUGUAACUGAAUUCUCUGUUUUUCCCUUGUAUGAUAGAGUGCUCUGUAGCCAGAGGUGUGGAAAUAAAUUAUGUACUAUGAGAUUAGUAAUUUGUAUUUCUCUGAACAUCUAACUUAUGUGGCUAUAUGAUGUUUAAAACUAAGUUUUGUGCUACUGUAACAAA